rnacentral:sRNA from 1 species
UUUGAAGCGCGGAUUGGAUGUCAGCUUAUUCCGCUGAGGUGUUCGCUGCGGACGUCCUGAGGUUUCAGAAGUAGUAAGCCGACUGUUAAGAGCCCUACUCAGCACCCGCCAGCGCGUACCCCUCACGGUGCUGGGGGCUGCUAGUCAGGGAGCGAAAUCCAUGCAGGCCAGACAGAAGGAAGGACAUUUACAGCAACAGAAACGUGCAUGCCCCAGAACUACCGAAGACUUGAUCUGGCGGGGAUGACGGAGGCAUUGUGUUGAUCAAUGGGUGUGGUCGCUUGUUUGAAAUGUGACUUCCCAGGUCAAAGACUGUCAAUGUAGUGCUUAUUAAAAUUUCUAUUUGAGCUUAAUUCCGUACCCUCCAGGUUAAGUUUAUUGUAUGUUGGAAACGCUGUCAAUACUCAUUCAGUGAAGUUGACUGGGCACUUUUGAAUGUAGUGGUAUUCAAAACCUUUGACCACAUGGCCCGUCAGGAUGAUGAGAAGAGAAGGCAGGAACUUGAAGAGAAAAUCAGAAGAAAGGAAGAGGAAGAGGCCAAGACUGUGUCAGCUGCUGCAGCUGAGAAGGAGCCAGUCCCAGUUCCAGUCCAGGAAAUAGAGAUUGACUCCACCACAGAAUUGGAUGGGCAUCAGGAAGCAGAGAAAGUGCAGCCUCCA